rnacentral:rRNA from 2 species
UACGUAGGGGGCGAGCGUUGUCCGAAGUUACUGGGCGUAAAGAGCGCGUAGGCGGGUCUUUAAGUGAGGGGUGAAAGGUUCGGGCUCAACCCGGACACUGCCUUUCAUACUGGAGACCUUGAGUAUGGGAGAGGCGAGUGGAAUGGCUGGUGUAGCGGUGAAAUGCGUAGAUAUCAGUCGGAACACCCAUGGCGAAGGCAGCUCGCUGGCCUAUAACUGACGCUGAGGCGCGAAAGCGUGGGGAGCAAACAGG